rnacentral:rRNA from 1 species
UACGAAGGGGGCUAGCGUUGUUCGGAAUUACUGGGCGUAAAGCGCACGUAGGCGGCUCUUUAAGUCGGGGGUGAAAUCCUGGAGCUCAACUCCAGAACUGCCUUCGAUACUGUAGAGCUUGAGUUCGGGAGAGGUGAGUGGAACUGCGAGUGUAGAGGUGAAAUUCGUAGAUAUUCGCAAGAACACCAGUGGCGAAGGCGGCUCACUGGCCCGAUACUGACGCUGAGGCACGAAAGCGUGGGGAGCAAACAGGG